rnacentral:tRNA from 1 species
CUCCUCGAGGCUCAACGGAUGAGCGCUGGUUUCCGAAACCAGAAGCUGUGGGUUCGACUCCCACCGGGGAGA